AGGUCAAGAUAUAAAGGGCAUACGGUGGAUGCCUUGGCGCCAAGAGCCGAAGAAGGACGCGGUUAACAGCGAAAUGCCACGGGGAGUCGUAAGCAGGCAUAGAUCCGUGGAUGUCCGAAUGGGGCAACCCAUCCAGAGUCAUAUUUGGAUAUCCUGUACUGAAUAAAUAGGUACAGCGAAGGCAAGUCGGGGAACUGAAACAUCUAAGUACCCGGAGGAAAAGAAAGAAUAAUCGAUUCCCAGAGUAGCGGCGAGCGAAACGGGACUAGCCCAAACCAAUCCAGAAGACAGAGGCCAGAAGCCAGAGGUCAGAAUGCAAGCAAGCAUCUGGCGUCCGGAAUCUGAUUUCUGACUUCUGGGUUGGGGUUGUAGGACUCUCAAAACGGGACAGUGUUUUUAGCUGAAGCGAACUGGAAAGUUCCGGCAUAGGAGGUAAAACCCCUGUAAGCGAAAAGAAGACUGGCUUAGAGAGUAUCCUGAGUACCGCGGGACACGAGAAACCCCGUGGGAAGCAGGGGAGACCACUCCCCAAGGCUAAAUACUACUUGGCGACCGAUAGUGAACAAGUACCGUGAGGGAAAGGUGAAAAGCACCCCGGGAGGGGAGUGAAAUAGAACCUGAAACCGUAUGCUUACAAGCAGUCAAAGCGUUUAGGCGUGAUGGCGUGCCUUUUGUAGAAUGAACCGGCGAGUUGUGAUAUGCAGCGAGGUUAAGUAUUUAAGAUACGGAGCCGAAGCGAAAGCGAGUCUAAAUAGGGCGACUAGUUGCAUGUUGCAGACCCGAAACCGUGUGAUCUACCCAUGGUCAGAGUGAAGGUGAGGUAAAACUCAUUGGAGGCUCGAACUCACUGUCGUUGAAAAGGCAGGGGAUGAACUGUGGGUAGGGGUGAAAUGCCAAUCGAACACGGAGAUAGCUGGUACUCCCCGAAAUAGCUUUAGGGCUAGCCUCAAUGGAUGAAAUACGGGGGUAGAGCACUGAAUGGGCUAGGGGCUUAAAAGUUACUGAACCCUAUCAAACUACGAAUACCGUAUUUUUAGAAGUUGGGAGUCAGACUGUGGGGGAUAAGCUUCAUAGUCGAGAGGGAAACAGCCCAGACCGACGGCUAAGGUCCCAGAGACUACGCUAAGUGGAAAAGGAUGUGGAACCGCAGGGACAACCAGGAUGUUGGCUUAGAAGCAGCCACCAUUUAAAGAGUGCGUAAUAGCUCACUGGUCGAGUGGUUCUGCGCCGAAAAUGUAACGGGGCUCAAGCGUAGCACCGAAGCCGCGGCAUACAGAGGUCAGAUGACAGAGACCAGAAGUCGGAAAGAGGUAAAAGAUGAUAGAAAGCUAUCGUGAUCUGAGGGUAUAUCAGAUUGCAUAUAAGCUAGCACUAGAAAUUCAUCGAAUAAGCCAAAGAUUUCCUGACUUCGAAAAGUAUGAGAUUGGGAGCCAAAUAAGAUAACAGAUGACAGAUGACAGAAGCCAGAGGUCAGAACGAGAAUCUGACAUCCGGCAUCUGGUAUCUGGAUUCUGGAAUUACAAAUGGCCCAAGGAUCAAAAGAAGAAACGAAGGUCUUGUUAGAGAUAGUGAAAGAUCUAGGUUAUAUCCAAGAAGAAGAGUAUAAAGAAUUGUUUAACAGAUAUGAUGAGUUAGGCAAGCAACUCUAUAGGCUUCAUCAAAAUUGGGAAUAAUCUGGCUUCUGGAAUCUGUCAUCUGACUUCUGAAUGGGUAGGGGAGCAUUGUCACAGCGUAGAAGGAUAACUGUAAGGUUUACUGGAGUGGUGACAAGAGAGAAUGCCGGUAUGAGUAUGCGAAAAGGUGAGUGAGAAUCUCACCCGCCGAAAAUCUAAGGUUUCCUGGGGAAGGCUCGUCCGCCCAGGGUAAGUCGGGACCUAAGCUGAGGCCGAAAGGCGUAGGCGAUGGACAAUUGGUUGAAAUUCCAAUACCACCAUAAAUCGUUUGAGCGAUGGGGUGACACAGGAGGAUGACCUGAGCGUGCUGUUGGUUAUGCACGUCCAAACAUCAAGUGGGUGCUGUAGGCAAAUCCGCAGCGCUAAACCGUGAGAUGUGAUGGGGAGCGAAAAUAAGUAGCGAAGCGGGAUAGUUCAUACUGUCAAGAAAAGCCUCUAGUGAGAAAUGUGGUGCCCGUACCGCAAACCGACACAGGUAGAUGAGGAGAGAAUCCUAAGGCGCGCGAGAAAACCCUCGUUAAGGAACUCGGCAAAAUGACCCCGUAACUUCGGGAGAAGGGGUGCUCUGGCAACAGAGCCGCAGAGAAAUAGUCCAGGCGACUGUUUAACAAAAACACAGGUCCCUGCAAAUCCGUAAGGAGAAGUAUAGGGGCUGACGCCUGCCCGGUGCUGGAAGGUUAAGAGGAGAAGUUAGCGCAAGCGAAGCCUUGAAUUGAAGCCCCAGUAAACGGCGGCCGUAACUAUAACGGUCCUAAGGUAGCGAAAUUCCUUGUCGGGUAAGUUCCGACCCGCACGAAAGGCGUAACGAUCUGGACACUGUCUCAACGAGGGACUCGGCGAAAUUGUAAUACCCGUGAAGAUGCGGGUUACCUGCGACAGGACAGAAAGACCCCAUGGAGCUUUACUGCAGCUUGACAUUGGAUUUUGGUAUAAAAUGUACAGGAUAGGUGGGAGGCUUGGAAGCCAGUACGCCAGUAUUGGUGGAGCCGCCGGUGGGAUACCACUCUUUUUGUACUGAAGUUCUAACCUAGGCCCCUGAAUCGGGGUUGGGGACAGUGUCAGGCGGGCGGUUUGACUGGGGCGGUCGCCUCCUAAAGAGUAACGGAGGCGCCCAAAGGUUCCCUCAGCGCGGAUGGAAAUCGCGCGAAGAGUGUAAAGGCAAAAGGGAGCUUAACAGAGAGACAAACAAGUCGACCUGGUACGAAAGUAGGGCUUAGUGAUCCGGUGGUUCCGAGUGGAAGGGCCAUCGCUCAACGGAUAAAAGCUACCCUGGGGAUAACAGGCUUAUCUCCCCCAAGAGUUCACAUCGACGGGGAGGUUUGGCACCUCGAUGUCGGCUCAUCGCAUCCUGGGGCUGUAGUAGGUCCCAAGGGUUGGGCUGUUCGCCCAUUAAAGCGGUACGUGAGCUGGGUUCAGAACGUCGUGAGACAGUUCGGUCCCUAUCCGUCGCAGGCGCAGGAAAUUUGAGGAGAUCUGACCCUAGUACGAGAGGACCGGGUUGGACGGAUCACUGGUGUACCAGUUGUCUCGCCAGAGGCAUAGCUGGGUAGCUAUAUCCGGAAUGGAUAAGCGCUGAAAGCAUCUAAGUGCGAAACCAGCUUCAAGAUGAGAUUUCCCACAGAGUUAAUCUGGUAAGACCCCUGAAAGAUGAUCAGGUUGAUAGACCGGGAGUGGAAGCAUGGUGACAUGUGGAGCGGACCGGUACUAAUAGGUCGAGGUCUUGACCUU
rnacentral:rRNA from 1 species